rnacentral:rRNA from 1 species
UCGAACGGUGCAGGAAUAUGGUAGAGAUAUCAUAGCUAGCAAUAGUCUGUAUCGAGGUGCUGCAUGGUUGUCGUCAGCUCGUGCCGUGAGGUGUCGGCUUAAGUGCCAUAACGAGCGCAACCCUUGUCGUUAGUUACCAUCAAGUAAAGUUGGGGACUCUAGCGAGACUGCCACCGUAAGGUGUGAGAAGGGGGGGAUGACGUCAAAUCAGCACGGCCCUUACGUCCGGGGCGACACACGUGUUACAAUGGUAGGUACAGAGGGGCGCUAUCCAGUGAUGGAGUGCGAGUCUCAAAACCUAUCUCAGUUCGGAUUGGAGUCUGCAACUCGACUCCAUGAAGUUGGAUUCGCUAGUAAUCGCGCAUCAGCCAUGGCGCGGUGAAUACGUUCCCGGGCCUU